rnacentral:rRNA from 1 species
UACAGAGGUGGCAAGCGUUGUUCGGAAUUACUGGGCGUAAAGGGCGCGUAGGCGGCUCGACAAGUCCCGCGUGAAAGCCCCCGGCUCAACUGGGGAACUGCGCGGGAAACUGUCGGACUUGAGUUCGGGAGAGGGAAGCGGAAUUCCGGGUGUAGCGGUGAAAUGCGUAGAUAUCGGGAGGAACACCGGUGGCGAAGGCGGCCCUCUGGUUGGAUACUGACGCUAAAACGCGAAAGCGUGGGGAGCAAACAGG